rnacentral:rRNA from 1 species
UACGAAGGGGACUAGCGUUGUUCGGAAUUACUGGGCGUAAAGCGCACGUAGGCGGAUUUGUAAGUCAGGGGUGAAAUCCCGGGGCUCAACCUCGGAACUGCCUUUGAUACUGCAAAUCUCGAGUCCGAUAGAGGUGGGUGGAAUUCCUAGUGUAGAGGUGAAAUUCGUAGAUAUUAGGAAGAACACCCGUGGCGAAGGCGGCUCUCUGGGACGGUACUGACGCUGAGACGCGAAAAGCGUGGGGGAGCGAACAGG